AAGUCGAGCGACAGACAAGGAGCUUGCUCCUUUGACGUUAGCGGCGGACGCGGUGAGUAACACGUGGGUAACCUACCUAUAAGACUGGGAUAACUUCGGGAAACCGGAGCUAAUACCGGAUAAUAUUUCGAACCGCAUGGUUCGAUAGUGAAAGAUGGUUUUGCUAUCACUUAUAGAUGGACCCGCGCCGUAUUAGCUAGUUGGUAAGGUAACGGCUUACCAAGGCGACGAUACGUAGCCGACCUGAGAGGGUGAUCGGCCACACUGGAACUGAGACACGGUCCAGACUCCUACGGGAGGCAGCAGUAGGGAAUCUUCCGCAAUGGGCGAAAGCCUGACGGAGCAACGCCGCGUGAGUGAUGAAGGUCUUCGGAUCGUAAAACUCUGUUAUUAGGGAAGAACAUACGUGUAAGUAACUAUGCACGUCUUGACGGUACCUAAUCAGAAAGCCACGGCUAACUACGUGCCAGCAGCCGCGGUAAUACGUAGGUGGCAAGCGUUAUCCGGAAUUAUUGUGCGUAAAGCGCGCGUAGGCGGUUUUUUAUGUCUGAUGUGAUAGCCCACGGCUCCCCCGUGGAGGGUCAUUGGAUACUGGAAAACUUGAGUGCAGAAGAGGAAAG
rnacentral:rRNA from 1 species